AUAUUAGUCAAUGCUCGAAAAGAGGUGGACUAGCUAACUGAAAUCAACUCUGUGUCAGAGUUGAUAACGUAAGGGAAAAUAAUGAUGAUACCUUACUAUUAGUGUUGUCCAAAUCCUCGUGCCAGAAGACUCGGUAAUGCGAGAGACGCAAACGUUAGUCGUCCUAAUCAGGCGUAAAGGGUGAGUAGGCGGCUUUAAGCUUCUAAUUUAAAUUGAUUAUUAAAUUUAAAAAGGAACAAUUAAAGCUAGAAUCAAGAAUGGGUUAAGUAAACAAUGCUUAGAGUAAGGAUUAAAUCUAUAGAUACUAAGUGGAGUCCUCAAGGCGAAGGCUUUUUUCUGAUAAUGAUUGACGCUGAGAAACGAGGGGGAGGGUAUAAAACAGGAUUAGAUACCCCAGUAUUCCUCUCUGUCAACGAUGAAUGGUAGUUACUAAAUAAAAAUAAAAACAAAUUUAGAGGCGAUGUUAACACGUAAACCAUUCCGCCUUGUGAGUAUGACUGCAAAGUUGAAAACAAAAAAAUUAGUCGAUCUUGGAGCAAACGAAGUGAAGCAUGUUUAUUUAAUU
rnacentral:rRNA from 1 species